rnacentral:rRNA from 1 species
UACGUAGGGGGCAAGCGUUGUCCGGAAUCAUUGGGCGUAAAGCGCGUGUAGGCGGCCCGGUAAGUCCGCUGUAAAAGUCCAGGGCUCAACCCUGGAAAGCCGGUGGAUACUGUCGGGCUCGAGUCCGGAAGAGGAGUGUGGAAUUCCUGGUGUAGCGGUGAAAUGCGCAGAUAUCAGGAGGAACACCAAUGGCGAAGGCAGCACUCUGGGACGUGACUGACGCUGAGACGCGAAAGCGUGGGGAGCAAACAGG